AGAGUUUGAUCAUGGCUCAGAUUGAACGCUGGCGGCAGGCCUAACACAUGCAAGUCGAGCGGUAGCACAGAGAGCUUGCUCUCGGGUGACGAGCGGCGGACGGGUGAGUAAUGUCUGGGAAACUGCCUGAUGGAGGGGGAUAACUACUGGAAACGGUAGCUAAUACCGCAUAAUGUCGCAAGACCAAAGUGGGGGACCUUCGGGCCUCAUGCCAUCAGAUGUGCCCAGAUGGGAUUAGCUAGUAGGUGGGGUAACGGCUCACCUAGGCGACGAUCCCUAGCUGGUCUGAGAGGAUGACCAGCCACACUGGAACUGAGACACGGUCCAGACUCCUACGGGAGGCAGCAGUGGGGAAUAUUGCACAAUGGGCGCAAGCCUGAUGCAGCCAUGCCGCGUGUGUGAAGAAGGCCUUCGGGUUGUAAAGCACUUUCAGCGGGGAGGAAGGCGUUAAGGUUAAUAACCUUGGCGAUUGACGUUACCCGCAGAAGAAGCACCGGCUAACUCCGUGCCAGCAGCCGCGGUAAUACGGAGGGUGCAAGCGUUAAUCGGAAUUACUGGGCGUAAAGCGCACGCAGGCGGUCUGUCAAGUCGGAUGUGAAAUCCCCGGGCUUAACCUGGGAACUGCAUUCGAAACUGGCAGGCUAGAGUCUUGUAGAGGGGGGUAGAAUUCCAGGUGUAGCGGUGAAAUGCGUAGAGAUCUGGAGGAAUACCGGUGGCGAAGGCGGCCCCCUGGACAAAGACUGACGCUCAGGUGCGAAAGCGUGGGGAGCAAACAGGAUUAGAUACCCUGGUAGUCCACGCCGUAAACGAUGUCGAUUUGGAGGUUGUGCCCUUGAGGCGUGGCUUCCGGAGCUAACGCGUUAAAUCGACCGCCUGGGGAGUACGGCCGCAAGGUUAAAACUCAAAUGAAUUGACGGGGGCCCGCACAAGCGGUGGAGCAUGUGGUUUAAUUCGAUGCAACGCGAAGAACCUUACCUGGUCUUGACAUCCACAGAACUUAGCAGAGAUGCUUUGGUGCCUUCGGGAACUGUGAGACAGGUGCUGCAUGGCUGUCGUCAGCUCGUGUUGUGAAAUGUUGGGUUAAGUCCCGCAACGAGCGCAACCCUUAUCCUUUGUUGCCAGCGGUUAGGCCGGGAACUCAAAGGAGACUGCCAGUGAUAAACUGGAGGAAGGUGGGGAUGACGUCAAGUCAUCAUGGCCCUUACGACCAGGGCUACACACGUGCUACAAUGGCAUAUACAAAGAGAAGCGACCUCGCGAGAGCAAGCGGACCUCAUAAAGUAUGUCGUAGUCCGGAUUGGAGUCUGCAACUCGACUCCAUGAAGUCGGAAUCGCUAGUAAUCGUAGAUCAGAAUGCUACGGUGAAUACGUUCCCGGGCCUUGUACACACCGCCCGUCACACCAUGGGAGUGGGUUGCAAAAGAAGUAGGUAGCUUAACCUUCGGGAGGGCGCUUACCACUUUGUGAUUCAUGACUGGGGUGAAGUCGUAACAAGGUAACCGUAGGGGAACCUGCGGUUGGAUCACCU
rnacentral:rRNA from 2 species